rnacentral:sRNA from 1 species
GCUCUGGUUACCCUGGAUAUAAAAAAGCUAUGAUGUUUACACAACGGAGUAUAGGAUUCUUAGUUCUUAAUUGCUAGUUGUAGAUGGUGUUCUUUCUUUGACUAAACGACAAUCAAACAAAUGGUCAAUUGCCCAAAUGGGCUAAAAUCGUGAAGCGGGGUCAAAAUAGGGCAUUGAUCAAACUACUCACUAUUAUUCGCCAUAGAGGUCAAAAAAGAAAAAGAAAAAGAAAAUAAAAAAUGAUCUAUCACCUUGCUUCAAAACCUCUAUAACUACUUCUUCCUCUGUCGCAAAGACCUGGACUUGCUAGGAGGUGGUUCCCGGGUAUUCAUUGUCUUUCUCUUGCCGCGAGCGUCAAUGUUAUCAUCGCCAGCGUCACUGUCCAGCUUCUGUCUCGUGGCUCGUUUUGAUCUCGUCUUCCCACCGUAAUCUCCAUCGGUGCUCUCUGGGGGGCUAGACGCUUUUCGUUUCAAACCUUGACGACGCUGAGUCGGGGGUGAGCUGCCCGUUCCGGUUGGGGGUAUAAUAUGGGAACCGCUAGCUUUGCUAUAGCCAUCUUGGAAUAGAGUACCGGGUUCCCCCGAACCCUUCCCAUUUUGCGAGGUCGAGGUUGCGGAUUGCGUUGACAUUGACGUUGCUGCUGUGGAAGAAGUGGAAAGACCACCAGAGCGUUGCUUGGAGUUUUCCGUUGACGAUGACGGCGAGGAUGCCAUGAUUGGGAUGGAUUCUAAGUCCCCCUCCUGUGCUGAGGCUGAGAUGACGGAUUUGAGAUGUGAUCCAUCGCGCUUAUUGUGAUCCUUGCCAUUGUUCUUUGGUUUGUGAGAUGGUCCAGUGGUUGUCUUCUGCGAUUUUCCAUAAAUGCCUUGCUGGGAUGCGGAUAGAAAGGUUGGAGGUGGAGUACGAUAUCCUCCAUCGUCUUCGCCAUCAUCAUCACCAUCAGCUAUACCUCCCUCUCUUCCUUCCUCACUAAACCCCUCGUUAUCAUAUACAGGCGUAUCAACACUUUCGACAACCACGUUCCGCUUUCCUGUCUUCCUUGGGCGUCCUGGCUGUUUCCGGCCAGUCACGGACUUAAAGAACGAGGGCUGUGGUGGGAGAUGCGAAGGGGA